rnacentral:rRNA from 1 species
GACGAACGCUGGCGGCGUGCCUAAUACAUGCAAGUAGAACGCUGAAGGAGGAGCUUGCUUCUCCGGAUGAGUUGCGAACGGGUGAGUAACGCGUAGGUAACCUGCCUGGUAGCGGGGGAUAACUAUUGGAAACGAUAGCUAAUACCGCAUAACAGUAGAUGUUGCAUGACAUUUGCUUAAAAGGUGCAAUUGCAUCACUACCAGAUGGACCUGCGUUGUAUUAGCUAGUUGGUGAGGUAACGGCUCACCAAGGCGACGAUACAUAGCCGACCUGAGAGGGGGAUCGGCCACACUGGGACUGAGACACGGCCCAGACUCCUACGGGAGGCAGCAGUAGGGAAUCUUCGGCAAUGGACGGAAGUCUGACCGAGCAACGCCGCGUGAGUGAAGAAGGUUUUCGGAUCGUAAAGCUCUGUUGUAAGAGAAGAACGAGUGUGAGAGUGGAAAGUUCACACUGUGACGGUAUCUUACCAGAAAGGGACGGCUAACUACGU